rnacentral:lncRNA from 1 species
UAUCAUCAUCAUAAGCAUUCUAUAACUAUUACGAAAUAAUAAACAUACAUUAUUCAUUAUAAUAAAGUCUCAUAACAUGGUCCCAAGGUCUCCAUAACCUUAACUUUAAAUACACCAUUUAUAAUACAAAUAGUUUACUUAAGGAAUUCCAUCAGAUAAUGACUAAAUUGACAUUCAUUCUAAAUUACUCCUGGAUCUUGCCCUUGCCCUUGUCCUUCGUGUUGGAUCCUUCGGGCUUAGCUGAAAUAGAUGUCAUGAUAUAGCAAGAGUAAGCAACUAAUUUGCUUCACAAGUUUAUAUA